rnacentral:lncRNA from 1 species
GGAGUAGGAUGCGUAUCAAGAUAGAAUCUAUCGAUCUUGAUAGAAAGGAGUAGUCCUAUAAGAUUUGAGAAGCUAAGUCCGAGAGUUUGUAGCCACAGUGGUGUGAUUGAUGGAAAAAAAAUUUUAUAAAGAUCACAAUUAGACUUGAGCUGAUCAAAUAUAUCAUAUGACUAAUGAUGAGGUUUGACGAUUUAUCCAUGAUCUGCCAUCU